rnacentral:lncRNA from 1 species
CCUACUACAUACCUGCAUAAAUUAAAAAUUAAAAUUUUUUGAAAUGUAAAAAAACAAAUUUUCUAUAAUAAAAAAUAAUGAAAGUUUCUUGUAAAUUUUCCAGUGCUAUAAAUCACAAAUACCCAAACCUGUUUCUGCUUUCAGAAACAUAACAAAAUAAUCCUCUGAUUCUUCAGGGUUCUUCAAGCUAUUGCCACUUUCCUUUCUUUCCCUUCAUAGGAAAAGCUUGUGACAAAUAAACUGAUGUCUUUGUCUGAUUUCAGGGACUGAUUUCACUUUUUCACUCUGCACUUCACUAUAUUCUGGCUUUUAAAAUAAAUCUCUAUGGAAUUAGUCCACUCCCAAAAUCCCAAUUCCCUCCCAAGUUGUUCCAUUUAGCUAUGAAGAAUUCCUAUAAGAAGCCACAGCUGACUCCAGAAUUCACAUUAGAAAGCCUGGGCUGCUGGUAUCUAUUCUUGGCCCAAAUCCUAAACUACUUCAACAGAGCAAACUUACUCCUCUCUAGACUCUCCAAGCACCUUAUUUUGCUUUUAGUGCCAUUCCUUUAUUGUCUUAUCCUCUAUAUUUAACACAUGGACUUGUUAUUUCAGACAUGCCUUCCUUUCUCCCAUGUUCAUACCUCCUGAUACCAAGAUGUCAUCCCCAGAACAUCUCAGUGGUGCUUCGUGAACCCUGGAUGCUACAGUCUCUGGCCACAGCACUAAAUGUAUGCUGAGAUCUGGCUUCACGGUCGAGGGUGUUGCUGGUUUUCAAUGUGCCUGACAUAGGAUCAAUGGUGAAUGCACCAGAAGCCUCAUCAGUCAGAAAAUACUCAGUUUGCCCAUUCAGGCCUUCAUCCUUGUCCACAGCUGAAAGCACAAGAACCACUGUUCCCACUUCAGCAUCUUCUCUCACAGAGGACUGGUAAUAAAGUGUGGGAAAAGAAGGACUGUGGUCAUUGGCAUCCAAAACUCUAACUUGCAGGUGUAUUACAGAGCUCCUAGGUGGAUCUCCCAGGUCAGAGCACAGAAUGACAAGGGUAAAAUUGCUGAUUUGCUCCCGGUCCAAAGCACGAGUGGUUGAGAGUUCUCCUGACAUCUCAUUUAUAGUAAAGCACUCAUCAGUAUUUCCAUCUAUUAAAGAAAACAAUUACAAAUUCAUUUGAAUUGAAAAAGUAGCAGCUCUUUGCUAGCACUAUCUAUGGUAUUCAUUUAUACAUUCAUUAAAAAUAUAUUUAUUCCCGAUUAUAUUGUAUCCUAGCACUUUUGUAAAUAUUGGGGAUAUAACAGUAAGCAUGAUAAAGGCUCUGCCCUCAUGAAACUUCUAUUGAGGGGAUAAACAGAAUAAUAUGAUUCAAUGCCUAUCUUUAAUCAGUCAAUAAUUAGAACACUUGCUUUCACUAAUUUGCAGCCGUAUGAUUUUUUGUGUGCAUCUACAACUUUUAAUUUUAAUAUAUUUUUCCUCAUAAGAGGAUGAAGAUAUAUGUUUUAUUUAACACAAAACAAUAGAUGAGGAUAAAAAAAACAGAAUAUAAUGUCCUUUUUUAAGAUAUCAAUCAGAAAUGAACAGAUUUGAUUUGUAGUUAUUUUCUCAAAUAGUACCCACUACAGUAUUCAUGCCUGUUAUACUAUUGCAGUAAGCCUUCUCUUCUACAUGUCCACAGCAUUUUGUACAAGAAUCAUAACACUUUGGUUAGAGUUAGUUGGACACUUGACUAUUUCUUCCAAAACAUAAAUAAGGACAUUGUUCUAUUCAUCUAUUCCUUAAAAAAAAUCUGCCCUUUAUUAUAUUCCAUCGUAUCAAGUAGAAUAAAACUUAAAAUUGAACACAGGGACAAAAAGCUUUCAAAGACAUUUUUAAAUAACCCUGAAAAUUAGUGAAGAAAAAUGUGGUUCAUAUGCUUGCCAGCCAUAUUCUUGGAUGAAGAGCAGGCCCAAUAGUGUGGGAACUUACUAGAGUCUGCAUAUCAGAGGCAUAUGAGGACCAAGUGGAAUGGCAUUCAAAGGAAACAACAGCAAUAGGUAGCUUUAGGGAGGAGGAGAGGGCCCUGCAUUUGUAUUCAUGAGGAACAGUUAAUUUACACCAAAAGUAGAGAUGAUUGGACAAACCCACAUUUCUGUAGUAUUUGUGGCUGAUAAAGUGAUUCAGUCAUUCAGCAAACAUUUGAUGAGCAUCUACUAUGUGCCAAGUUUGUGCUCAAGAUCACAGAUAUGAAGGGAGUAAGACAUGACCUAGCUCCAAGAGUUCACAGUCUAAAAGGAAAGGCUGGUCAAUACUCGGGUAUUAAAGUACCAUGUGAAAAUCAUAUGUACAGAGUGCUAAAUGAGUACAUAUAGAUAGUGCUAGCCAAGGGGUGCUAUUUCUCUGAGAAGUACAGAGAAAGGGCACAUAGUCCUAUGUUAGUAAGUUCAAGAAAUGCUUAUUGGAAAAAGUGACAUCAAAUCUCACUCCUAAAGUGGAGAAAGCCAUACUACAAGUUUUGGGGAGAGUGUUCUAUGCAGAGGAAAGAGCCCGUGGGAAGUUCUAGGAAUAUAAGAAUUAACAGGCUGCAAAUGUUUGGGUGUGACUAGUACACAGGGUUCCUGGGUGUUUGUAUGUGGCAAGUAGGAAAAGGGCUGGCAGUAGCGGUAGAGGAAAGACAUGAAUUUGGGAGGUAAGCAGGGGGUCAAAUUGUGAAGGGCUCUCUGUAUACUGCUGAAGAUUCUAUAGUUUCUCCUGAAAUCCAUGAGGGAGCCCCCUGAAGGAUUUUGGACAGGAAAGUGUCAUGAAUCAAAUUUCUAUUUUAAGAAUAGUAUCGAGGCAGCAAUGUCAAAGUUUGUUUAGAAAAUAGGAUGGUUCCUGUAAUCCCAGAACUUUUGGAGACCAAGGCGGGAGGAUUGCUUGAGUCCAGGAAUUUGAGUCCAGCCUGGGCAACAUAGUGAGAC